rnacentral:tRNA from 1 species
GCGCCUGUAGCUCAGUAGGAUAGAGCAACGGACUUCUAAUCCGUGUGCCGGGGGU